AUUGAACGCUGGCGGCAUGCUUUACACAUGCAAGUCGAACGGCAGCGCGGGCUUCGGCCUGGCGGCGAGUGGCGAACGGGUGAGUAAUACAUCGGAACGUGCCCAGUAGUGGGGGAUAGCUCGGCGAAAGCCGGAUUAAUACCGCAUACGACCUGAGGGUGAAAGCGGGGGAUCUUCGGACCUCGCGCUAUUGGAGCGGCCGAUGGCAGAUUAGCUAGUUGGUGGGGUAAACGCCUACCAAGGCGACGAUCUGUAGCUGGUCUGAGAGGACGACCAGCCACACUGGGACUGAGACACGGCCCAGACUCCUACGGGAGGCAGCAGUGGGGAAUUUUGGACAAUGGGCGAAAGCCUGAUCCAGCAAUGCCGCGUGUGUGAUGAAGGCCUUCGGGUUGUAAAGCACUUUUGGCGGGAACGAAAAGGACUGUGCCAAUACCACGGUUCGAUGACGGUACCCGCAGAAUAAGCACCGGCUAACUACGUG
rnacentral:rRNA from 1 species